rnacentral:rRNA from 1 species
UACGGGGGGAGCAAGCGUUGUUCGGAUUUACUGGGCGUAAAGAGCGCGUAGGCGGCAUGGCAAGUCGGGCGUGAAAGGCCUGGGCUCAACCGAGGAACUGCUUUCGAGACUGCCAAGCUAGAGUGCGGAAGGGGCAUCUGGAAUUCCCAGUGUAGCGGUGAAAUGCGCAGAUAUCAGGAGGAACACCGGUGGCGAAGGCGGGUCUCUGGGCAACAACUGACGCUGAGGAGCGAAAGCGUGGGGAGCGAACAGG